rnacentral:lncRNA from 1 species
UGUCGGGAGUCUUCUUAGAGGCCGGGGGUGUUUGGUAGGCACUCCCUAUCUUUGUUGGGACGAAGUUCUUUAGGUCUCUGGUGCGGUCCAUCCUUCAUCUGUUUCUGUCAUAGCUCAUCACCCUUCCAUUUUAAUUUUCCUCCUCUCCUCAGAGUGAGGGCCCUACCCUCGCUUUUUGCGAGGUUGCAUAGGAGCGUGGAGGUGCCGCUGAGGG